rnacentral:lncRNA from 1 species
GACAAAAACUCUCUUUUCCAAUCCAGCUAGGCGUGGGGUAACAUCUGUAGUUAAAUAAAAGUUACCCCAAGCCUAUUAAUAGUUAUUUAAAGUGAAGUGAUCUAUUCAAAUCAUACCUUAAUCAUUCUACAGCAGCUGUAUAAAAGAAAAUUCCACAAUUGCAGUGAAGAAACCUGGCUAAAUUAAUAUAUUCAUGGCUACAUAUUAUUAUGCAUCAACUGUCCUGCUACACAAAAAGGUUCAAGAAGACAGAAUUGACCUUAUAAUCAUGUAUAAUCAAAACCUUUGUACCACUUCUUGUGUAUGAUUAUGAAAUAUAGGAAGAAUUUCUUUUCUAGAGUUGUAAUUUGUUGACUGCAUAUAGAAGCUGUAACGUUAUUGUCAUCAUUUCUGUUGCACAGGAGUUUUGUACCAAAAUCAUGGCUAAACUUUCCAAAGAGCUUUUACAAAGAAAACUAGAAAAGGAGAGAGAAAGACGCAGGAAAAUAAGAGAAGAUCCAAUCAAGAGCUGAACAACAACAAAAAGAAAAGUAUCUGAGGCAACGAAAAGUAAAAUAAAAAAAUCUAUCAAUGAGAUGACUCCAAGACAACAAAGACUGAAGAGGAAACAAUGGAGAACUAAUUUAGCUGCAUUCAGACAAAGACAAAAAGCUCUGAAGGAGACUGGACAACAUUUGGAAAACAAUACACCCCCAAAUUCUUCAGAUGAAGAAAAUGUACCAGAAAAUAUUAGAGCCGAUAUUGGGCGAAGAAGGGCUAUUCAAAAUAGAGUUAAAAAGACAGAGAAAAA